rnacentral:rRNA from 1 species
CAGUAGCCACGGGAAUACGUAGGGGGCGAGCGUUGUCCGAAGUUACUGGGCGUAAAGCGCGCGUAGGCGGCUUCUUAAGUCUGAGGUGAAAGGUUCAACGCUUAACGUGAACAGUGCCUUGGAUACUGAGGAGCUUGAGUAUGGGAGAGGGCAGUGGAAUGGCUGGUGUAGCGGUGAAAUGCGUAGAUAUCAGUCGGAACACCCAUGGCGAAGGCAGCUGCCUGGCCUAAUACUGACGCUGAGGUGCGAAAGCGUGGGGAGCGAACGGGAUUAGAUACCCGAGUAGUCCCUGUCUCUUAUA